UACGAAGGGGGCUAGCGUUGUUCGGAAUUACUGGGCGUAAAGCGCGUGUAGGCGGAUCGUUAAGUCGGGGGUGAAAGCCCGGAGCUCAACUCUGGAAUUGCCUUCGAUACUGGCGGUCUGGAGCAGAGAAGAGGCGAGUGGAAUUCCGAGUGUAGAGGUGAAAUUCGUAGAUAUUUGGAGGAACACCAGUGGCGAAGGCGGCUCGCUGGUCUCUUGCUGACGCUGAGACGCGAAAGCGUGGGGAGCAAACAGG
rnacentral:rRNA from 1 species